UAUGGAAGACGAGUUGAAGAGAGUGAAGCGCCGGUGCAAAGAUCUGGAAGGCGAGGUUACGCAAAAAGCUUCAGCCGCCUCUACUUUAUCUGCCACCAACAAGAAGUUGGCUGAGGAUUGGGCUGCUCAAAGGAAUCUCUUGAGAGAUAAAGAGCAGGAAAUCUCCAAGGUCAACGAGUUGGGGGCUGUAGAGAUGGAAUUAGCAGCUCAACGUGCCAGGGUCUCAAUCAAAGAGUCGAUGAUCGUCGACAUCACCCGCCAGCACGAAAAUACUGAGGCGAACCUUCAUUCCUGUCGGACACAGAACUCCAUAUUUUCCGACCGACUGAAUGAAAGUUAUGAAGAGAACAAGAAGCUGUU
rnacentral:lncRNA from 1 species